UACGGGGGGGGCAAGCGUUGUUCGGAAUUACUGGGCGUAAAGGGCUCGUAGGUGGCCAACUAAGUCAGACGUGAAAUCCCUCGGCUUAACCGGGGAACUGCGUCUGAUACUGGAUGGCUUGAGAUUGGGAGAGGGAUGCGGAAUUCCAGGUGUAGCGGUGAAAUGCGUAGAUAUCUGGAGGAACACCGGUGGCGAAGGCGGCAUCUUGGACCAACACUGACACUGAGGAGCGAAAGCCAGGGGAGCAAACGGG
rnacentral:rRNA from 1 species